rnacentral:rRNA from 1 species
CCUACGGGGGGCUGCAGUGGGGAAUAUUGGACAAUGGGGGGAACCCUGAUCCAGCCAUGCCGCGUGUGUGAAGAAGGCCCUCGGGUUGUAAAGCACUUUCAGUGAGGAAGAACGCCUGGUGGUUAAUACCCAUCAGGAAAGACAUCACUCACAGAAGAAGCACCGGCUAACUCCGUGCCAGCAGCCGCGGUAAUACGGAGGGUGCGAGCGUUAAUCGGAAUUACUGGGCGUAAAGCGCGCGUAGGUGGCUUGAUAAGCCGGUUGUAAAAGCCCCGGGCUCAACCUGGGAACGGCAUCCGGAACUGUCAAGCUAGAGUGCAGGAGAGGAAGGUAGAAUUCCCGGUGUAGCGGUGAAAUGCGUAGAGAUCGGGAGGAAUACCAGUGGCGAAGGCGGCCUUCUGGACUGACACUGACACUGAGGUGCGAAAGCGUGGGUAGCAAACAGGAUUAGAUACCCCAGUAGUC